rnacentral:rRNA from 1 species
GGGUUGUGAGGUUAAGCGACUAAGCGUACACGGUGGAUGCCCUGGCAGUCAGAGGCGAUGAAGGACGUGCUAAUCUGCGAAAAGCGUCGGUAAGGUGAUAUGAACCGUUACAGCCGGCGAUGUCCGAAUGGGGAAACCCAGUGUGAUUCGUCACACUAUCGUUAACUGAAUACAUAGGUUAACGAGGCGAACCGGGGGAACUGAAACAUCUAAGUACCCCGAGGAAAAAGAAAUCAACCGAGAUUCCCCCAGUAGCGGCGAGCGAACGGGGAGCAGCCCAGAGUCUGAAUCAGCUUGUGUGUUAGUGGAACGGUCUGGAAAGUCCGACGGUACAGGGUGAUAGUCCCGUACACCAAAAUGCACAGGCUGUGAACUCGAAGAGUAGGGCGGGACACGUGGUAUCCUGUCUGAAUAUGGGGGGACCAUCCUCCAAGGCUAAAUACUCCUGACUGACCGAUAGUGAACCAGUACCGUGAGGGAAAGGCGAAAAGAACCCCGGCGAGGGGAGUGAAAAAGAACCUGAAACCGUGUACGUACAAGCAGUGGGAGCACCUUCGGGUGUGACUGCGUACCUUUUGUAUAAUGGGUCAGCGACUUAUAUUCUGUAGCAAGGUUAACCGUAUAGGGGAGCCGCAGGGAAACCGAGUCUUAACUGGGCGUUAAGUUGCAGGGUAUAGACCCGAAACCCGGUGAUCUAGCCAUGGGCAGGUUGAAGGUUGGGUAACACUAACUGGAGGACCGAACCGACUAAUGUUGAAAAAUUAGCGGAUGACUUGUGGCUGGGGGUGAAAGGCCAAUCAAACCGGGAGAUAGCUGGUUCUCCCCGAAAGCUAUUUAGGUAGCGCCUCGUGAACUCAUCUUCGGGGGUAGAGCACUGUUUCGGCUAGGGGGUCAUCCCGACUUACCAACCCGAUGCAAACUACGAAUACCGAAGAAUGUUAUCACGGGAGACACACGGCGGGUGCUAACGUCCGUCGUGAAGAGGGAAACAACCCAGACCGCCAGCUAAGGUCCCAAAGUCAUGGUUAAGUGGGAAACGAUGUGGGAAGGCACAGACAGCCAGGAUGUUGGCUUAGAAGCAGCCAUCAUUUAAAGAAAGCGUAAUAGCUCACUGGUCGAGUCGGCCUGCGCGGAAGAUGUAACGGGGCUAAACCAUGCACCGAAGCUGCGGCAGCGACACUAUGUGUUGUUGGGUAGGGGAGCGUUCUGUAAGCCUGCGAAGGUGACCUGUGAGGGUUGCUGGAGGUAUCAGAAGUGCGAAUGCUGACAUAAGUAACGAUAAAGCGGGUGAAAAGCCCGCUCGCCGGAAGACCAAGGGUUCCUGUCCAACGUUAAUCGGGGCAGGGUGAGUCGACCCCUAAGGCGAGGCCGAAAGGCGUAGUCGAUGGGAAACAGGUUAAUAUUCCUGUACUUGGUGUUACUGCGAAGGGGGGACGGAGAAGGCUAUGUUAGCCGGGCGACGGUUGUCCCGGUUUAAGCAUGUAGGCUGGUUGUCCAGGCAAAUCCGGAUAAUCAAGGCUGAGGUGUGAUGACGAGGCACUACGGUGCUGAAGUAACAAAUGCCCUGCUUCCAGGAAAAGCCUCUAAGCAUCAGGUAACAUUAAAUCGUACCCCAAACCGACACAGGUGGUCAGGUAGAGAAUACCAAGGCGCUUGAGAGAACUCGGGUGAAGGAACUAGGCAAAAUGGUGCCGUAACUUCGGGAGAAGGCACGCUGGUGUGUAGGUGAAGUCCCUGCGGAUGGAGCUGAGACCAGUCGAAGAUACCAGCUGGCUGCAACUGUUUAUUAAAAACACAGCACUGUGCAAACACGAAAGUGGACGUAUACGGUGUGACGCCUGCCCGGUGCCGGAAGGUUAAUUGAUGGGGUUAUCCGUAAGGAGAAGCUCUUGAUCGAAGCCCCGGUAAACGGCGGCCGUAACUAUAACGGUCCUAAGGUAGCGAAAUUCCUUGUCGGGUAAGUUCCGACCUGCACGAAUGGCGUAAUGAUGGCCAGGCUGUCUCCACCCGAGACUCAGUGAAAUUGAACUCGCUGUGAAGAUGCAGUGUACCCGCGGCAAGACGGAAAGACCCCGUGAACCUUUACUAUAGCUUGACACUGAACAUUGAGCCUUGAUGUGUAGGAUAGGUGGGAGGCUUUGAAGCGUGGACGCCAGUCUGCGUGGAGCCAACCUUGAAAUACCACCCUUUAAUGUUUGAUGUUCUAACGUUGGCCCCUUACCGGGGUUGCGGACAGUGUCUGGUGGGUAGUUUGACUGGGGCGGUCUCCUCCCAAAGCGUAACGGAGGAGCACGAAGGUUAGCUAAUCCUGGUCGGACAUCAGGAGGUUAGUGCAAUGGCAUAAGCUAGCUUGACUGCGAGCGUGACGGCGCGAGCAGGUGCGAAAGCAGGUCAUAGUGAUCCGGUGGUUCUGAAUGGAAGGGCCAUCGCUCAACGGAUAAAAGGUACUCCGGGGAUAACAGGCUGAUACCGCCCAAGAGUUCAUAUCGACGGCGGUGUUUGGCACCUCGAUGUCGGCUCAUCACAUCCUGGGGCUGAAGUAGGUCCCAAGGGUAUGGCUGUUCGCCAUUUAAAGUGGUACGCGAGCUGGGUUUAGAACGUCGUGAGACAGUUCGGUCCCUAUCUGCCGUGGGCGCUGGAGAAUUGAGGGGGGCUGCUCCUAGUACGAGAGGACCGGAGUGGACGCAUCACUGGUGUUCGGGUUGUCAUGCCAAUGGCACUGCCCGGUAGCUAAAUGCGGAAGAGAUAAGUGCUGAAAGCAUCUAAGCACGAAACUUGCCCCGAGAUGAGUUCUCCCUGAGACUUUAAGUCUCCUGAAGGAACGUUAAAGACGAUGACGUUGAUAGGCCGGGUGUGUAAGCGCAGCGAUGCGUUGAGCUAACCGGUACUAAUGAACCGUGAGGCUUAACCUUACAACGCCGAAG